rnacentral:rRNA from 1 species
CCUUCUUUUUCUCUCUUUCCUCUUCCUUCCUUUUCUUCCCUCUUUCUCCUUCUUUUUCUUCCUCCCUCUUUUCCCUCCCCUUUCUUCCCUUUUUCCCUUCUUUUGUGACUGCGAGACUUGAGUGCGGCAGAGGGGGGUGGAAUUCCACGUGUAGCAGUGAAAUGCGUAGAGAUGUGGAGGAACACCGAUGGCGAAGGCAGCCCCCUGGGUCGACACUGACGCUCAUGCACGAAAGCGUGGGGAGCAAACAG